CUUUUAUUUCGGCUUUGUUGCUAGGCCAAGAAUUCUCUCUAAAAUGUUUACAAGUUUCCAAGUUCCUUUUCUUUCUAUAUUUCUAUUCAGAAUUAGAGAGGAAAGUGAGCAUUGCUAGUGUAAUCCCAUUACUUUAAUCUCAAGUUUUUAAUACAAUUUCAGAUUCUCUUCUUUCCAUUUGCUUAAGUUCCUUAAAUCCAACUAGCCGGCCUGCUCUAUUCUCUGUGAAUGCCAACAAUAAGAAUAGAUUUCUGCAUUGAUACGAUAGAGAGGAACGAUCUAGCUAUCUACCAUAAUGAGUUGGAUCAAAAAGUUAAUAGAAUCAAAAUUUUAAAAUUUACUUAAUUGAGUUGAUAUGGAAGGAGGCAGCAGCCGGGAAUGAUGAACCUCUAAGAUAAUGUCUUCAUCAACAGUAGACAAGCGAUGGGAAUCCAACCGAUAGCAUGGGGCCUCCAGCUCUAAUUUUGGAAGAAGCUCCGUUGCACGCACAAACGAUCAUUAUGGCCAAAUUCUAUAAUGAAAACCCAGAAAAUUGGAUUGUCCAGGCUGAGCAAUCCGGCAGCAUGAUAUCAAGAAUACACUGAUCCAGAACAGAUUUCCUUUAUAUAAUCCCAUGAGAUCUAGCCCCUUAGAAUGUCCAUUUAUAAACCAAAAAAAUACAAAAAUGCAGAUAUAAUGCACUGAAGAAUACUUUCACAAGGGGAUAGAAAGGAGCAAAACUUCAUAUUGGCAUUAGGAUAGAAAGGAGCAAAACUUCAUAUUGGCAUUAGGCAAGCAGCCAGGCACAGAUACUCUUUCACUGCACCUUGCAAUUUAUGUGCCUCUUAAUAUAUGCAGUAGCAACUUUAAGCUGUAACCGUUGAAAACAGCUCUUCUAACUAUACAAACACCAGGCACAGCCUUGGUUCCUGCCAUCUAUAUUUUGCCACUGCUUCUAUAUACUGUAUAGUUAUCUACAACAAUCACUGCUGACGGAUUCUUCUAGUACCCAGACAAUUUCUGUUUACUAAAUUAGCUUCAUCUUGUGCUCAAAAUGUUCUAGUGUUGUUAUGCUAAGCCUUCAGAGUAGAACCAAAAUGUGGGAAGAGCUGAGAAGGUAGGUCUCUUAUUCGGGACCCAUUGCCCCAGAAAGAUGCAAGAGAAAGACCCAUGAUCGCCAUGGCAACUACCGAGCAUGCUGGUGGGACAGCCUGAGUGGUCCCAAGGAACUGGGUUGCAAGAAGACCUGCCAGUGUGGAGCUUUGCAUUCCUGUGCACAAUGAAAUUGUCCUGCUAACUUCUUCAUCUAGCCUGUGACAAUAAUCAUUUUAUUUCAUGUCAUUUUAAAAGAAAAGUUUAUACAUGUGAUGGAAUAUUAAUUAAUCACAGAAUCAUGCGUUUUAUCAUCAUCCAUCUUAAGUUAUUUAAAAAAUAACUCUUUGGAAUGGAAAUAAGUUUCUAGCAAAUAUGCAUUCACCAGAGGAGAACCAAGAAGGCAAUGAAUAAUUGCACGUUAAAAUUUAAGAAUGCUGGGAAAAAAAUACACAUUAGACUACUGAAAAAACCAAUAAUCAGUGGAGUUGCAAGAAAGGCCCCAGAAUAGGAAAGAGCAAUGGCGACUUCUUUCAAGUUCAACAACAAGGAAUUCAAUAGACACCUGCACAAUGCAUAAAGCAUGGGCAACCAAUAAGGAUAAAGCUUUGAUAGCUUCUCAUAAGUUCCAUGAGAACUGGAAUUACUCCCAAGACAUGGGUUAAUAAUCAGAAGGAAGCAGGUAAUGCAAGUGCAGAAUGACAACAUGCUGAUCAUAAGCAGUAGAAAUGGAAUGAAUAUGCAACAGAAUAAUAGCCUACCAUAUGAAAAGUCAGAGAAAUAACACCUCCAAAGCACAUACAUUAGAAUUUAAUGCCUCCGGAUAGCAUUUGUACUAGCAAACAUGUAGAAAAUACAGCAACAAUUUUCAACUAUCUACCCCCAAAAAAUGCUAGGACAGUUUGACCCAUCCCAUUCCUUGGACAAGUAUAGGAUUCAGCCACAGAAGUAUAUCAUGGCAUCAAUAGGCUUCUAACUAGACGCUAACAACCCAUGUUCAUAAAAAAAUUUUAUCACUUAGAGGCAGCAUGACAUUUAAAUGAACAAUAUAGGGUCUCCAAAUCCUACCAGUUCAAAACCGUCCCCAGAGUUCAUGAGACUGGAGAUAUCAUAGCAAAGAGCUUUUACUACUAUUAGUUAGAAUGACUGCAAACAACUAUUGCAUGAUUGAUCCAAGGAACCCAAGUCCAAAAAACAGGGCAUUUGCAAGGAGGCUUAUUCAUACCCCAUUAUAUAUUUGCCAAAACGCUUCCUCAAAAUGCAUAGUGCAGGAUGCAAAGUAUGAAAUUACCUCAAAGCUGGAAUUCUGGAAAUCCAAUAUCCAAAAGCGAAUGCAGCUGUAUGAAAUGCCAAAACUGGAAGAACCAAUCUGAGACCCUCUGUGGACAGAAUCUGACUUCUAUUUAUAGCUAGAGGGCUGCCAAUACAAAUUGAGGUACAUAUCAUAGCAACAAAUGGCAUCACAGGCUGAAUAACAUUUACCACUGGCUUUGCAUAGGUAUUUAGCACGAGGCCAAGGGUAACUGGAACAAGAACAACCUGCAAUAUCGACUUUGACAUGGCAACAGCAUCAACUGGAACAACAGAGCCAAUGAGGAGGCCAGUUAAAAGAGGCGUGAUAAGCACUGAUGCAAUUGUUGUAGAGCUAGUAAGGAGAAUGCUCAUGGCUACAUCCCCUUUGCUCAAGAAACUGGCAUAGCUUGAUAGUUGAGCCCCUGCAACACAAGACAUGAGGACAAAACCUGUGUAGAACAUCCGAGACAUCCCAAAUGCCUUUGCAACUAAUAACCCAAGGGCUGGUUUUAGCACAUACUGCGCGAGAAACCCAACAGAUAGUGGUAAAGGUCUCUUAAAUGCAAGAGCAAAAUCAUCAAUAGAAAGUUUAAUUCCAAUUGA
rnacentral:misc_RNA from 1 species